UACGUAGGGCGCAAGCGUUGUCCGGAAUCAUUGGGCGUAAAGAGCUCGUAGGUGGUCUGUUACGUCUGCUGUGAAAUCCUAGGGCUUAACCCUGGGCCUGCAGUGGAUACGGGCAGACUAGAGGUAGGUAGGGGAGAACGGAAUUCCUGGUGUAGCGGUGAAAUGCGCAGAUAUCAGGAGGAACACCGGUGGCGAAGGCGGUUCUCUGGGCAUGUCCUGACGCUGAGGAGCGAAAGUGUGGGGAGCGAACAGG
rnacentral:rRNA from 1 species